rnacentral:snRNA from 1 species
GUGCUCAUCUGAGCAGCAGUGUACACUAAAAUCGGAAUGAUACAGAGAAGAUUGACAUGGCCCGUGCGUAAGGAUGACAUGCAAAUUUGUGAAGCAUCCCAUGUGUUC